rnacentral:tmRNA from 1 species
GGGGAUGCUGGGCUUCGACAUGAAGAUUUAUCAUUCUUUUGUGCAGAAUGAGCUGUGACUUGCUCAUAAAACCGGUCAUAAACAUAUAAGUGCAAAAACACUUACAAGCAAGGCUAAGGCCAUGUUUACCAUGCCUGUCCUUGCGACAGUUGCAGUCUAAUUUAGUACCGCAGCCGUUUGCCUGCCGAUGCCUUCUGGGCAGAUCCAAACGUCAUACCGAAGGCUAGGUUGUAAUGUGACUCCAUCUUACAAUCAAAAAAUUCUAUAAGAGUUCGAGUUUUCAAGGUUUUGUUUACUUUUAUACUUGAAAAUUCUAAAUCAGAAAGUAGACUAUUUCUGUAGAGUCAAAAUUAUGUCCUUCGUGGACGCGGGUUCAACUCCCGCCAUCUCCACCA